UACGGAGGGGGCUAGCGUUGUUCGGAAUCACUGGGCGUAAAGGGUGCGUAGGCGGGUCUUUAAGUCAGGGGUGAAAUCCUGGAGCUCAACUCCAGAACUGCCUUUGAUACUGAGGAUCUUGAGUUCGGGAGAGGUGAGUGGAACUGCGAGUGUAGAGGUGAAAUUCGUAGAUAUUCGCAAGAACACCAGUGGCGAAGGCGGC
rnacentral:rRNA from 1 species